rnacentral:rRNA from 1 species
UACAGAGGUCCCAAGCGUUGUUCGGAUUCACUGGGCGUAAAGGGUGCGUAGGCGGUCGGGUAAGUCUGAUGUGAAAUCUCACAGCUUAACUGUGAAACUGCAUUGGAUACUAUUCGGCUUGAGAGUUGGAGGGGGGACUGGAAUUCUUGGUGUAGCAGUGAAAUGCGUAGAUAUCAAGAGGAACACCAGUGGCGAAGGCGAGUCCCUGGACAACUUCUGACGCUGAGGCAGCGAAAGCUAGGGGAGCAAACAGG